UCUGGUUCAGGACGAACGCUGGCGGCGUGCUUAACACAUGCAAGUCGAACGGAAAGGCCCUGCUUUGUGGGGUGCUCGAGUGGCGAACGGGUGAGUAACACGUGAGUAACCUGCCCUUGACUUUGGGAUAACUUCAGGAAACUGGGGCUAAUACCGGAUAGGAGCUCCUGCUGCAUGGUGGGGGUUGGAAAGUUUCGGCGGUUGGGGGAUGGACUCGCGGCUUAUCAGCUUGUUGGUGGGGUAGUGGCUUACCAAGGCUUUGACGGGUAGCCGGCCUGAGAGGGUGACCGGCCACAUUGGGACUGAGAUACGGCCCAGACUCCUACGGGAGGCAGCAGUGGGGAAUAUUGCACAAUGGGCGGAAGCCUGAUGCAAGCAACGCCGCGUGCGGGAUGACGGCCUUCGGGUUGUGAACCGCUUUCGCCUGUGACGAAGCGUGAGUGACGGUAAUGGGUAAAGAAGCACCGGCUAACUACGUGCCAGCCGCGGC
rnacentral:rRNA from 1 species